GCCGCCAUAGCUCAGUCGGUUAGAGCGUGGGUCUAAUAAGCCCAAGGUCGCAGGUUCGACCCCUGCUGGCGGCC
rnacentral:tRNA from 1 species